GACGUAGGGCGCGAGCGUUGUCCGGAUUUAUUGGGCGUAAAGAGCUCGUAGGCGGCUUGUCGCGUCGUCCGUGAAAACCUGCAGCUCAAUUGCAGGCUUGCGGUCGAUACGGGCAGGCUGGAGUUCGGUAGGGGAGACUGGAAUUCCUGGUGUAGCGGUGAAAUGCGCAGAUAUCAGGAGGAACACCGGUGGCGAAGGCAGGG
rnacentral:rRNA from 1 species